UAAUGCUGCGCCAACAUACCUAUCCUCCCUCAUACACAAGUAUGUCCUGUCGAGACCCCUGCGCUCAGCUCAAGACCUACGUCUAUCCUCUGCCCGGAUCCCCACCUCUGAUGCUCGCCUUCAAGACUUCUCCAGGGCUGCACCUAUUCUGUGGAACUCCCUUCCCCCGUCAAUCAGACUUUCACCCAGCCUCCACUCCUCCAAAAAAUCUUUGAAAACUCACUUCUUCAUUAAAGCGUAUCAAUUAAACUGUCAGCAGGUUUCUAAUCCCCCACCCCAUGACUCCGUUCCUUCACCUGUCAAAAUUGACCUACCAAGCACUCAAUAAACCCUUCUGUAACAAACUAUUUAAUUCCCCUGCUUUAACCCUUUGUGUCACUCUACCCCACUCCCUCUAGCAUGUAAGCUCAUCGAGCAGGGCCUUCAACCCUCUCUGUUCUUGUAUGUCAGUGGUCUGAUCUCAAUUUUGUGUCUGUUAGUCCACCCAUUGCACAGCACUACGGAAUUUGUUGGCGCUAUAUAAAUAAUGGUCCUGAUAGUUUUCACAAUAUGACCAUUUGUUUGCAACUCACGCCAUCCAUUGACAUUCAUUGAAACUCUACUCUAGCCAGCUCAAAUUUGAAAGGCAAUUUCUAAACUGCGACUGUGCCUUCAUUGUUAAUAUUUCAGAGACAUACAAUGCAUCAAAAUGUAGGUCUGGGUCUUGUGAUUCUCACAAUAUAAAGCUCUUCGCUGUAGGAUUUAUAGUUUUUAAAAUACAAGUGUUUGAAGAUGGCAACCACCAGUUAAGUGAGCAAGUUGGAGCAGUUUGUUUUUAACCGCUCUUCUCUGCCCUAUUUGAAAUCUUAGUUCCUGUUGGCAGUUGGUGGAAUGUUCGAGAGAUUUGAAAUGGCGGCUGCAGAAACCCUGUGUAACAAGGCUGCAAUAUGAAGAUGCUGUUAUAUAUGGAUUAAUAAAGUGAGUACUUCGCUAUACAGGAAUUAUUGACUGAUUUGUACAAAACAUCACAGUGGCAGCAGGGAUAGCUGAAUGUUUUGAAAUAAAUUGGUAUAUUUAUAUCCCUCCAUGGCAAGACCACUUACUAUUAUCUCACAUAUAUUAUUAUUAUUAUUCUUAUUGAGCAAGUUGGAGCAGUUUGUUUUUAACCGCUCUUCUCUGCCCUAUUUGAAAUCUAUUAGUUCCUGUUGGCAGUUGGUGGAAUGUUCGAGGGAUUUGAAAGCUCUUCUCUGCCCUUGCUGUAGAGUGAGUGAACCACACUCCAACCUUUCCAGUUACUCCAUCCACUCAAGCUUAUAAAACCUGGACUUCUCUCUCACACAAAGACUUAUUUACCAUAAAUUUUUACAUCUUAACUCCACGUGCUGACAUCUAACUUACAAAUGAGCUCUGUUCCACACAUUGUAAAAGGGUCCCUGCUGUGUGGCGUGCGCUAUGAUGGGUUCGCCCGAGUCGGUCAGUGGAGGGAUCUGUGGUGUUCCCCUCGUGUCUCUUGAUGUUUUGUCUUGUGUGUUGGGAACAUAAUCGCUUGUGGGGUUCCUGUGGUUGUGGUCUCCCGUGUUUCCCCAUAUGGGGCCAUUUCCUGGAUGGUUCCAGCUGGCCCAUUUGGGUUGUAGCUUGUGUGUUGGG
rnacentral:lncRNA from 1 species